rnacentral:rRNA from 1 species
CAGUCGCCGCGGGAAUACGAAGGGGGCUAGCGUUGUUCGGAAUUACUGGGCGUAAAGCGCACGUAGGCGGAUAUUUAAGUCAGGGGUGAAAUCCCAGAGCUCAACUCUGGAACUGCCUUUGAUACUGGGUAUCUUGAGUAUGGAAGAGGUGAGUGGAAUUCCGAGUGUAGAGGUGAAAUUCGUAGAUAUUCGGAGGAACACCAGUGGCGAAGGCGGCUCACUGGUCCAUUACUGACGCUGAGGUGCGAAAGCGUGGGGAGCAAACAGGAUUAGAUACCCGGGUAGUACUUGUCUCUUAUAC